UAAAUUAAUGUAUUUUGAACGGGGAAGCCAUCGUGAAUGCUCUUAGAAAUAACGUUUCCGUUUCUACCGACGAAAGGACAGGAACAGAAUAGCAGCAAUGGAAGCCGUAACAGGGCCAUGGAAACAGCUUCUUCUGAACGCAUUGGAGUCGAACUCCCACCUCAGGCCACUGUGGGAUUGAAUGGGAGACCUUCGAAUCGCACUGUGGUUUUCAGAGGACUUGAAGAGAACACUGAUAAGAUCCAAAUCCACACUGAUUACCGAACUCAUAAGAUUGAAGAGCUUAGGCAUUGCCCAUAUGCUGAGAUAUGCUGGUAUUUCACCGACUCUUGGGAGCAAUUCCGGGUCAAUGGAAAAAUUGAUAUCCUCGAUGAAUCAAAUCCCGAUCUCAACAAGCUUCAGCUGUCCAGGCCAGAUCCACCAUAUUCCAUCGCUAUAAUCAUCAAACUAGUUAUCACCAUACAUGAACAAAACUCUGAGGUCAUUUUUCAAACUCUUUUGUGGAGAUUUCCUGAAGGGUUCAAUAGCAGCUGGAUCUAUUAUGGAGACUGGAGGAUGGCGGUGCCCUGUGGUUGGGGAAAGAGGGAAUGUGUUGCAGCAAAGAGAAAAAUCUUGGUUCGCCAGUUCUCUGAAAUCAAGACUGCAGUAUUUGGGGCCUAGUCCUGGUCUUCCCUGUCUAAGCGAACUGCCAGACCAGGAAUUCUUGGAUCAUUCUACAGGUCCAGUUGGUGCAUUCUGUCUGCUGGUCUUAGAUCCAGAUCAGGUUGAUUACCUGAAUCUGAAGAGCAACCAGAGAAUAAAAUUUACAUCUGGACUGAGUGUGAAUGGAGAAAAGUGCUGGACUUCACAGAGGAUCAAUCCAUAAUCUAUGCUUUGUAACUUUUGGAUUCCAAUAUGAAGCGUGGUUUCAAUUUAGAAAUCUUUUAUGAAAUUUGUUAUAAAGAUAUCUCUUUUUCAUUAU